AAUCAAUAACUGAGUUUCCACAGAUAAAAAAAUAAUAAAAAAUAUGUUUUCAAACAAGAAAAUGAUGCCAGGAUUUAGUGGAACAAUUAAUAUUAAUCAUAACAUUCGGGCUUUUGGAGUCAAAUCAUGCUCGGAUUAUCACAUAUAAUGCUCAAUCAACCAUUAAAUUAUGCUGAAAUUUUACCAGGAAAAAAAAAAAAAAAAGCCCACCCUCCUGACACAUUGUCAUACCUACCAUUAAAACUUUAGGUCACUUGAAGCUCGUAGGGUUUUCCGAAAUUAUCAGUGGCUAGGUUGACCAAAAAGAAAUUAUCAGGCUUGGAAACAGGGUUAUAAAUUUCCUCCGCCCAUAUGAGGCAACGUCGGUCAACAUGAUCAUCAGUGCAGAGCCAUCGUCAACUAUUCCUUGUUGGAUCAUCAAGUAGAAGAACUCGAAAGCAACCUCUCAUUGAGAGUAUCAAAACACAUCAACGAAGGGGUGCAUCCCUAAGAAGGAUGGCACAUGUCAAGGCGAAGAAUCCCAACUCUUAAUUGAAUCAAAAUCAACCAUGCAAAGGGGUCAGAGAAUAAGAGAUGCAGAAAAAAAGAGACUGCUAAUAAAAAGGAAUAAAACAAGAGUAAAAAGCCACUAGCAGAGGGG